ACCUCAUUAUCCUUCAUGUACUCCGGAAGCUCCCAAAACGACUUUAAGCCACACCGUUUAAUCUCUUUGUUCAGAGUGCCAUCGUCGUCAAGAUUACCCACUUUCUUCUUUUUAUUCUUGCAAGCGCUUUGAUGAGGAACGACGUGAGAACAAUGUGUUUGAUGAAAAUCCAUUUUCUUGGGCUUUCUCUUCAAGAAGACAGCAACAUCCAUAGAAGGAGGUCGUACAAUUUCCGGGUAUAUAGAAGAGAAAGGGUUGUGGCUGGUUUGUUUUUCUUUUGUUGGGUUUGAUUUAAAGUGGGAGUUGUGGAGGAUGCAACAACCAACUGCAAUCUGCAAACAUUUAAAGAGCUGCGUGUGGGUUGGUUUGGAUUGGAUUGGGGUUACAUG
rnacentral:misc_RNA from 1 species